AAUUUUUGUAUGCCUUUACUGUCCAUCAUUUCAUCUCUUCCACUAUAAGAUUUUACUGAAUUACAUACGAAAUUCACAAAUAGAUGCAUAUCUGGAUAUAUUUUAAACGGAUGUUGCAAAUGAGUAUCACAAAACUAAUUGACAAACGGAUUCAAGAUCUGUUUGUAAAGCUGUUUGCUUUUGCUUAAAUUUACAGAUGGAUUCUAGUAUCUGUUUACAAAUCACAAACAGAUUGUUAGUACUUAUGUAACCAGUCACAAACGGAAGCGGCAUUCUUUGAAUAUAAACAGGCCUUCUCUUUGUAUUUUUUAAAUCCCUACCUAUCUCCAUUUCACUCUCUAUCGACAAAGAACCUAUGUAGCCUGCAAUUGUAUCUCCCUCCAUCGCUCCUCCUUAUAUUGAUGCACCAUAGCCAUCUACAGCCAUUGCUGCCUGUUCCCAUUUCCGUCGAUUGGAGCUUGAGACGUACGUGUCUGUUGGAUUGAAGACAGACAUGGGAAGAGAGUAGAAGUGGACUCAGAUCAAUGGGCUUUUUUGACCUAUUUGCAUGGAUGCUUGGACCAGUGAGGGGGACCAUCAUAUCUGGUGCUUAUAGCUUUCUAUACUCUUCCGUUCUCUUUAAUUUUUGUUGCCUGUUCUAAUUUUUUAUGAGUUUUAGGAAUUUACUCGAAAUUUGCACCUGAAUGUGAUUCUUUGAGUUCUGUUAAUUCUCUAAUUGUGUUCUACGAGGAAAUAUAGCUAGCUUCUUUCUGGCCAUAUAUUCGGACUUUCUUGAUGGGAGAUGUUUAUAUAAGUGAAUUGGUUACUUGGUGGUUGGUAUUGCUCUCUUUUUUAAUGUCUAUAGAUAAUGGUUGCUGUAACUAGAGAUGGUUCAAACGAUGCUCCUGCAUUGCAUGAGGUUGUUCAGUUCUUAUCUUUAAAUUCUGAGAAUUCUGUUUAUGUUGAAGAUCAUUUUGGUUGGGAAACCAGAACUAAUAAACAGUAACCUGACAGUACUGAUGCGAUAAAUCACAUGAUUUAUUUUCCCUUGUAUCUCUGUAUUUUGCUCUCUUCAAUGGCUUCUAUGAGUGCACGUGCAAUUGUGUGUUGUUUGUCUUAUUUUUGUUUUCUCAUUUGUGCUUUUUUAUUUUGUCAUUAUUAUUAGCAUAACUGUAUGUUCAGGCGGAUAGCAGCCUUUCAAUGGGCAUUCAAGGAACAGAUGUUGCCGAAGAAAACUCAGAUAUCAUUAUCCUGAAAGAUAACUUUGCUUCAUUGUGGAGGUUAGCUAUAUUCAUGAAAUUUGCUUGUUGGAAAUUUGUCUCAAUUAGUGAUCCAACUGUUGAGCAGGACUGGUAUCAGACUUUUGUAAUUCCCUAUUUGUAAAUGUUGCAUCGCAUUGUGAGGUCCCAGCCUUGUUAUAAUUGCAUUCUAUCACCAUUAUGAAGAACAACAUAAUUACUCUUGAAUCCUCUUUUUUUUUUAUUCACUAUUUGAGUCUCAGGCAUAAUUGCUCUUGAAUUGAGUACAAUAUCUAAUUCCUUUGAUUGAGUGAAACUGCCAAAUAUUUUGGAGACUUAGCACAUAUAGGUUGUUUGAUGGGUGGAUCUGUGUAUGCAAAUAUUUAAAAAAUUUUCCAGUUUCAGCUUACAGUUAAUGUCGCAGCUCUCAUCAUGUGUGGCUGCAGUUUCAUCUGGUGAUGUCCCAUUGAACGCUUUGCAGGUAAGUGGACUUGUCUUUCACAAAAAAAAAAAAAGAAAAGAAAAGAAAAAAAUGAAGAAAAGAGAAGUGUGAUACACAACAGAAUAAAAGAGCAACUGUUAUGCAUACUCAGGCUAAUUGUUCUCAUUUCUGCUGUACAGCUUCUCUGGAUUAAUCUUAUAAUGGAUUUGUCACAUGCCAUAGGAAAAAAGUAUAGGAAAAAAGGUUAAAAGAAUGUAAUGGGAGAGAAUAUAGAUUAUAUGAUGUAUGUUACAAAUAACCUCCAGCUGGUACAGCUGUGUAUGAGGACAGCUGCAAGUUAGCUUGUUACUACCUGAGAUCUAUAAAAUCUCAGUAUAUUCCAUAUGUAAGGCUUUUGUGGAUGCAUUUGUAGGCCAAUCUUAUGACAGACGUAAACAAGGAAAACAAUAAGGAGUUGACCAAAACUAAUGGCUUUUCUGGCAGCAUAAUAUCUUAUUGAUCUUAAUUAAUAUGAUAGCAUGAUUUCAACAGCUUGAUCUCAGCAACAUUUCUUUUAUUUAGUUUUCUUAAUUGAUUUGGUUUACUUUUUGAAAGGAGUCCUUAAGAUUUUUAAUCAUUGUCUUUCUAUUUCUACCAACUUGUGACCUUUAAGGGAAGAUUGAAUCAAUAAAAUUAUCGAUCAGAAUUUCAAUUCCUGAGUUACAGAGGUUAAGACUCUUUCUUCCUAAGGAGCCUAAAGGUUUAGAGCUCCUUUGACGAGUUUUUUUGUUCUUUCAUCAUAGGGUCUUCAUGAGAACGUAACCGGAAUAAAAAAAAGGCCGUGAUUGCAGAUUUUCCUAUAUAUCGCCCUGGGACACAAUUCUUCACACAAAGUCGUAACAAAGGCAUGAGAAAUUUCAAUACAAACACCAUUGCUUCUCUCCUUAUUUCCGAUUCUCAUUCUCUCUUCUACUACUCUCUAAUUCUCUUAAUUCUCUAUUCUUUCACUUUCUCUCCUUCUUCUUCUCUUUUAUAUCUUAAUUUCUUUGUUAGAGCAUCAGCUCCUAACAAUUGGUAUCAACUCUUUUCUAUCUUAUCACAUGUGGUGGAUAAAGGCAAGAAAGUGGUAGUUCCGGUGAAAUGGGGAAACAGAGUAGAAAACAGUGUUCAUCAAUCUGUCUCUGUUAAUACAAAAGAAGCGCAUACUGUUCAAGCUAAUGAUAAAGGUAUUUUGGGUACUACUCCCACCGUCCCCUCAUUAAUGAUGUAACCCAAAUACUUCCAGAAAUUGAGUUAGCCAUUGUUGAUGGAAAGAACCGAGAGCUUGGUUAAGGAAGUGUGUGAAGUAUUUCAAAAUGUACAGAGUUCCCAGUGAACAGAUGGUACAAUUAGCCAGUUUAUUUUUUAUGGAUAAGUCAGAUGAUUGGUACUAUAAUUAGAAUAGGGAUAGGAACAUACUUAGGAAGAAUUUGAGGGGAAUAUGUAAUAGAUUUGGGGAUGAUGGGUGAGAAGACAUAGUACAUGGAUUUAUGUAACUGAGAUAAGAGAAAUCUGUGGAGGAUUACCAGGAUGAGUUUGAGGAUAUGAGAAUCAGAUUGGAAAGAUUAAUGCCUGAAUUAGGGGAGUCUUAAUUCCUUUUAAGGUUCAUUGGAGGGUUAAAGAUUGAGAUUAGGUUGAUAGUGAAGAUGAUGAAGUCUGUCUCCUUAUCUCAGGCAGUGGAGGUUGCAAAGUUACAGGAGCAAUUGCUAAUGAAAAAUCAACCAAAAGGGAAGCUCUAAUACCUUCAAAUCCUUCAAAAAUGCCUAUCCAAACACUGCUACCAAUAGCCAAACAACCCACAUAUACUAGGCCAUACUAGUCAUACCAACAUCCACCUAGACCACCAAAGAUUGACCAGAGAACAAAUUUAACUGCUACUAAAGGCAGUAAUUGUUUUUCUAUUUCCAAUUCUAAUACUAUAGCUACAACAGCCUCCAAAAUAACCAAUCCACCUAUCAAAAACUAAACCAAACCUUGUUAUAGAUGUGCGGAUAAAUACUUUCUAGGGCACUAAUGUAAAUCCAAAACACUAAAUGCAAUCUGUAUAGAUGAUAAAGAAGGUGAAGGGGUGGAAGAGGAAUGGUAUGAAGUUAAGGGAAGUGAAGUGGAAGAUGAAGUGAUAGAUGCAACACUGUCUGUGCAUGCUAUUGAGGGCAGUUAUGGGGUGGGUACAAUUAGAAUUUAAGGUAACAUGUUUGAUAAAUAUUUUUUUGGUGUUAUGAAAUAUUUCUAUAAUCUAGGCAUUGUUGACGAGGCAAGAAAUUACUGUUGUUCAUAUUCUGAGGAUAAAUUGUAGAUUUCUGCAGGUCUUAGCAUCUGCAAUAAAUUUCAGAUGAAUGGCUUGCAAGUUUUUUUUUUAAAUGUUUAGCUUUGCAUUAUCGCAUAUGUUCACAAUAUGACCAUUAAUUUUUUUUUUCUUUAGGAUUUGGCAUUUGAUCUCUGAUUUUGCAAUUUUGGGAUAUAACAUCUACAACUUGGAGAACUGCUUGCUCUUUCUGUUGUGGGAAUAUUAAUAGUUCUUUGUUUUUCCUCAAUAUUUAUUAAUUUUUAUGUGUUUUUAUCAUUUAGGAAGGUUUGAUAUUAAAUGUCUCCGCAUCUGGUCGUUUGAAUUAUCUUCUUGCCUGUUAGAAAUGUCAUGAUUUUAGGAAAAUUAGUUCCCUUGCUGCUGGUUUUGCUACAUGUUUCUAAAGUAGAACUAUAUUAUGCUAAAGACAAGUAAUUACUUACAAUUACAAAUUACUGCCACAAUGUGCGACUUUUUGCAGUUUUGAAGCCUUCAUAAAGUUAAACCAAUAGGCUUUUCUUCUUCUUUUUUUUUUU